rnacentral:snRNA from 1 species
AUGCUCACUUCAGCAGCACAUAUUUUAAAAUUGGAACAAUACAGAAAAGAUUAGCAAGGACCCUGUGCAAUGACAGAAGUACAGAUCUUUCAAUGAUUCCU